rnacentral:rRNA from 1 species
AAGGUGUGUUGAGAAGCAUGCUGGAGGUAUCAGAAGUGCGAAUGCUGACGUGAGUAACGACAAAACGGGUGAAAAACCCGUUCGCCGAAAGACCAAGGGUUCCAGUCCAACGUUAAUCGGGGCUGGGUGAGUCGACCCCUAAGGCGAGGCCGAAAGGCGUAGUCGAUGGGAAAAUGGUUAAUAUUCCAUUACUUCUGUGUAAUGCGAUGAGAGGACGGAGAAGGCUAAAUCAGCCUGGCGUUGGUUGUCCAGGUGAAAGGAUGUAGGCAUGUAUCUUAGGCAAAUCCGGGGUACUCUAUGCUGAGAUCUGAUAGCAAGCUGUACUUGUACAGCGAAGUGGUUGAUGCCAUGCUUCCAGGAAAAGUCUCUAAGCUUCAGUUACACAGGAAUCGUACCCGAAACCGACACAGGUGGUCAGGUCGAGUAGACCAAGGCGCUUGAGAGAACUCUGCUGAAGGAACUAGGCAAAAUGGUACCGUAACUUCGGGAGAAGGUACGCUGUUGUUGGUGAUGGAACUCGCUUCCUGAGCUGACGACAGCCGCAGAAACCAGGCCGCUGCAACUGUUUAUUAAAAACAUAGCACUCUGCAAACACGAAAGUGGACGUAUAGGGUGUGAUGCCUGCCCGGUGCUGGAAGGUUAAUUGAUGGGGUUAGCGUAAGCGAAGCUCUUGAUCGAAGCCCCAGUAAACGGCGGCCGUAACUAUAACGGUCCUAAGGUAGCGAAAUUCCUUGUCGGGUAAGUUCCGACCUGCACGAAUGGCAUAAUGAUGGCGGCGCUGUCUCCAGCAGAGGCUCAGUGAAAUCGAAAUCGCUGUGAAGAUGCAGUGUACCCGCGGCUAGACGGAAAGACCCCGUGAACCUUUACUGCAGCUUGACACUGAACUUUGACCUUACUUGUGUAGGAUAGGUGGGAGGCUUUGAAGCUGGAACGCUAGUUCCAGUGGAGCCGUCCUUGAAAUACCACCCUGGUAAUGUUGAGGUUCUAACUCUGUCCCGUGAUCCGGGACGAGGACCGUGUCUGGUGGGUAGUUUGACUGGGGCGGUCUCCUCCUAAAGAGUAACGGAGGAGUACGAAGGUGCGCUCAGCGUGGUCGGAAAUCACGCGUAGAGUAUAAAGGCAAAAGCGCGCUUAACUGCGAGACCCACAAGUCGAGCAGGUACGAAAGUAGGUCUUAGUGAUCCGGUGGUUCUGUAUGGAAGGGCCAUCGCUCAACGGAUAAAAGGUACUCUGGGGAUAACAGGCUGAUACCGCCCAAGAGUUCAUAUCGACGGCGGUGUUUGGCACCUCGAUGUCGGCUCAUCUCAUCCUGGGGCUGAAGCAGGUCCCAAGGGUAUGGCUGUUCGCCAUUUAAAGAGGUACGCGAGCUGGGUUUAGAACGUCGUGAGACAGUUCGGUCCCUAUCUACCGUGGGCGCUGGAAAUUUGAGAGGAUCUGCUCCUAGUACGAGAGGACCAGAGUGGACGAACCUCUGGUGUACCGGUUGUGACGCCAGUCGCAUCGCCGGGUAGCUAUGUUCGGAAGGGAUAACCGCUGAAAGCAUCUAAGCGGGAAGCCUACCUCAAGAUAAGAUUUCCCUAGGACUUUAUGUCCUCUAAAGAGCCGUUCGAGACUAGGACGUUGAUAGGUUGGAUGUGGAAGCAUAGUGAUAUGUGAAGCUGACCAAUACUAAUUGCUCGUGAGGCUUGACUA